ACGCGCCGAGCCCCAAGCCCCCCAGCGACGCCCUAAAAGUUUCCCUUAGACUUUAAAACCCCCCUCCCCUCCACCUAAUUCUUCCGCGAUUCCCUCCGGCCUCUUUUCCCUCUGAUUUCACGGUGAUACUUGGAAAUAUUUAAAACAAUGCCCAACUAACCAAACUCUCUCGACUCUUACAAAAAAAAAAUUAAAGAUUGGGGGCCAGACCCAGUACGAACCUAUUCAUUUCCCCACCAUAACUUUUCCUUGGACUUGUCUCGCGGAUUUUAUUCGAACUAUUUUGCACCUCCUCUAAAACAAAUCAAUUGAGUUCCCACCGGAAGGAUGUAUGCCAGGGAGGAAAUUAAAAUAAAUUUUUGGGAAGGGGGCCCCCAGCGGGGGGGCCCCCCGGCUCUAUUUUUCUUCUCCCCGCGGGAAACCCCCCCGGUCCCGACCCAAUUAAGGAUUGACAGACUGAGAGCUCUCUCUUGAUUCUGUGGGUGGUGGUGCAUGGCCGUUCUUAGUUGGUGGGGUGCCUUGUCUGCUUAAUUGCGAUAACGAACGAGACCUUAACCUGCUAAAUAGUCCGCAUGGCUCCGGCAGUGCGCUGGCUUCUUAGAAGAAGAUUCGGCUCAAGCCGAAGGAAGUUUGAGGCAAUAACAGGUCUGUGAUGCCCUUAGAUGUUCUGGGUCCCACGCGCGCUACACUGACGGGGUCAGCGAGUUCCUUGGCCGAAAGGCCCGGGUAAUCUUGUUAGCCCCCGUCGUGCUGGGGAUAGAGCAUUGCAAUUAUUGCUCUUCAACGAGGAAUCCCUAGCAAGCGCAAGUCCGCAGCUCCCGUAGACGAUGAUCAUGGCGUUGGAGGCGGUCAUCGUAAAGGGCGAGAGAGAGGUGGAGACACACACAAUACGACGACUGACGCAGUAGCCUG
rnacentral:rRNA from 1 species